rnacentral:rRNA from 1 species
GUGGGGAAUCUUGCGCAAUGGGCGAAAGCCUGACGCAGCCAUGCCGCGUGAAUGAUGAAGGUCUUAGGAUUGUAAAAUUCUUUCACCGGGGAAGAUAAUGACGGUACCCGGAGAAGAAGCCCCGGCUAACUUCGUGCCGGCAGCCGCGGUAAUACGAAGGGGGCUAGCGUUGCUCGGAAUUACUGGGCGUAAAGGGCGCGUAGGCGGACAUUUAAGUCAGAGGUGAAAGCCCAGGGCUCAACCUUGGAAUUGCCUUUGAUACUGGAUGUCUUGAGUUCGGGAGAGGUGAGUGGAACUCCGAGUGUAGAGGUGAAAUUCGUAGAUAUUCGGAAGAACACCAGUGGCGAAGGCGACUCACUGGCCCAAUACUGACGCUGAGGCGCGAAAGCGUGGGGAGCAAACAGGAUUAGAUACCCGUGUAGUCC